AGUGAACGCUGGCGGUAGGCCUAACACAUGCAAGUCGAACGGCAGCACAGUAAGAGCUUGCUCUUACGGGUGGCGAGUGGCGGACGGGUGAGGAAUACAUCGGAAUCUACUUUUUCGUGGGGGAUAACGUAGGGAAACUUACGCUAAUACCGCAUACGACCUACGGGUGAAAGCAGGGGAUCUUCGGACCUUGCGCGAUUGAAUGAGCCGAUGUCGGAUUAGCUAGUUGGCGGGGUAAAGGCCCACCAAGGCGACGAUCCGUAGCUGGUCUGAGAGGAUGAUCCGCCACACUGGAACUGAGACACGGUCCAGACUCCUACGGGAGGCAGCAGUGGGGAGUAUUGGGCAAUGGGCGCAAGCCUGGUCCAGCCAUGCCGCGUGGGUGAAGAAGGCCUUCGGGUUGUAAAGCCCUUUUGUUGGGAAAGAAAAGCAGCAGGUUAAUACCCCGCUGUUCCGACGGUACCCAAAGAAUAAGCACCGGCUAACUUCGU
rnacentral:rRNA from 1 species